GGGUCACUUGGCACCAAACUAUGAGUCCAUCAUUAAAGGUCAAUGAGGUGGUAGGAGAACAGAAACUCCCAACAGAAAUAUACACUUUUAAUAACAAGUAGGAGACGAACUACUUUGAUUAAGACUGGUCGUGACCAAAAAAUAAGAAGCAGCUUCUGAUUUCUUCUGUGGGAUUUGCUGAAUAAUCAAUCAAUCCAUCAAACUCCCAAAAACCAUUUGAUUUCCUCCUCUUUGUGGUUCUUGGUCAAUGGCACAAGUAAAAAGUCUGUUCCUUUUUUCUCAAUGAACCAACGAAGAAAACAGAGGAGCAUUCAAACUUUGAAAUAGUAAAGAGAAAAUUCAAUUGUAGGAUGAAAUUCGACAACUUGCUAAAGCUUUGUACCAUGUAUGAACUUGGUAGCUGAUUUGGUGA